GGAAUAUAAGAACUCGUCUCUUAACUUUUAACUAAAAAAACUAAGAACCGGCUCUUAAAUAAGAGUUUUAAGAGCCGGUUCUUAACUUUUUUAGUUAAAAGUUAAGAGACGGGUUCUUAUAUUCU
rnacentral:pre_miRNA from 1 species